CGAUGGAUAGGGGUUCUGAGAGGAAGGUCCCCCACAUUGGUACUGAGACACGGACCAAACUCCUACGGGAGGCAGCAGUGAGGAAUAUUGGUCAAUGGCCGAGAGGCUGAACCAGCCAAGUCGCGUGAAGGAAGAAGGAUCUAUGGUUUGUAAACUUCUUUUAUAGGGGAAUAAAGUGGAGGACGUGUCCUUUUUUGUAUGUACCCUAUGAAUAAGCAUCGGCUAACUCCGUGCCAGCAGCCGCGGUAAUACGGAGGAUGCGAGCGUUAUCCGGAUUUAUUGGGUUUAAAGGGUGCGUAGGUGGUGAUUUAAGUCAGCGGUGAAAGUUUGUGGCUCAACCAUAAAAUUGCCGUUGAAACUGGGUUACUUGAGUGUGUUUGAGGUAGGCGGAAUGCGUGGUGUAGCGGUGAAAUGCAUAGAUAUCACGCAGAACUCCGAUUGCGAAGGCAGCUUACUAAACCAUAACUGACACUGAAGCACGAAAGCGUGGGGAUCAAACAGGAUUAGAUACCCUGGUAGUCCACGCAGUAAACGAUGAUUACUAGGAGUUUGCAACGGUGAAACUCAAAGGAAUUGACGGGGGCCCGCACAAGCGGAGGAACAUGUGGUUUAAUUCGAUGAUACGCGAGGAACCUUACCCGGGUUUGAACGUAGUCUGACCGGAGUGGAAACACUCUUUCUAGCAAUAGCAGAUUACGAGGUGCUGCAUGGUUGUCGUCAGCUCGUGCCGUGAGGUGUCGGCUUAAGUGCCAUAACGAGCGCAACCCUUAUCACUAGUUACUAACAGGUGAAGCUGAGGACUCUGGUGAGACUGCCAGCGUAAGCUGUGAGGAAGGUGGGGAUGACGUCAAAUCAGCACGGCCCUUACAUCCGGGGCGACACACGUGUUACAAUGGCAUGGACAAAGGGCAGCUACCUGGUGACAGGAUGCUAAUCUCCAAACCAUGUCUCAGUUCGGAUAAUCGCGCAUCAGCCAUGGCGCGGUGAAUACGUUCCCGGGCCUUGUACACACCGCCCGUCAAGCCAUGGGAGCCGGGGGUACCUGAAGUCCGUAACCGCAAGGAUCGGCCUAGGGUAAAACUGGUGACUGGGGCUAAGUCGUAACAAGGUAGCCGUACCGGAAGGUGCGGCUG
rnacentral:rRNA from 1 species